rnacentral:rRNA from 1 species
GACGAACGCUGGCGGCGUGCCUAGUACAUGCAAGUCGAACGAGAGCGACCGGUGCUUGCACUGGUCAAUCUAGUGGCGAACGGGUGAGUAACACGUGGGUAACCUGCCCAUCAGAGGGGGAUAACAUCCGGAAACGGAUGCUAAAACCGCAUAGGUCUUCGAACCGCAUGGUUUGAAGAGGAAAAGAGGCGCAAGCUUCUGCUGAUGGAUGGACCCGCGGUGCAUUAGCUAGUUGGUGAGGUAACGGCUCACCAAGGCCGUGAUGCAUAGCCGACCUGAGAGGGUGAUCGGCCACAUUGGGACUGAGACACGGCCCAAACUCCUACGGGAGGCAGCAGUAGGGAAUCUUCCGCAAUGGACGCAAGUCUGACGGAGCGACGCCGCGUGAGUGAAGAAGGUUUUCGGAUCGUAAAACUCUGUUGUUAGAGAAGAACAAGUGCUAGAGUAACUGUUAGCGCCUUGACGGUAUCUAACCAGAAAGCCACGGCUAACUACGUG